UCUAACUUUCUAACUAUCAGAUAUUGAAACUUUCUAACUAUCAGAUAUUAUUUCAAUAACUACCAUCAUCAGCAACCACUUUGUGCAGGGACGUGAUGAUGCCUCCAUCGUAGAUCUUGCCCGGAAUCUCCGAACCUUCCUCCGGACACGCCAUCGUAGAUCUUGUCUGCUGCUCUCUUUUUGUUUUUGACAGGGAACUGUGCUUUGCAGUUAAAGCUGAGUAGGGAAGGAGAAAAUAUGAAUUUCGAUUCUUCUUGUUGAUCGUGUGUAGUGAAAUUUGAGAUUUUUCUUUUUUUCCUUUUCUUUUUGGUGUUUCCUUUUGUACUAAUUAACAUGUUUGCCUAUGGAAAUCAAUCAUUUCCUCAUGUGAUAUAUUACUCUAUUCAAUUGUGUGCCAAAAAUUCAACACACUUUGAAACGAGUAGUGAAAGUUUAGAUUUGCUCUUAUGAGACCAUCG
rnacentral:lncRNA from 1 species